AACUGUGGAGAGAUUUGUUUGCUUGCAACCACGUUAAAAAAUGCUAAAAAUU
rnacentral:ncRNA from 1 species